rnacentral:rRNA from 1 species
UACGGGGGGAGCAAGCGUUGUUCGGAUUUACUGGGCGUAAAGGGCGCGUAGGCGGCCAGCACAAGUCAGUUGUGAAAUCUCCGAGCUUAACUCGGAAAGGUCAACUGAUACUGUGCGGCUAGAGUGCAGAAGGGGCAACUGGAAUUCUUGGUGUAGCGGUGAAAUGCGUAGAUAUCAGGAGGAACACCGGUGGCGCAAGCGGCUUCCUGGCCUAAAACUGACGCUGAGAUACGAAAGUGUGGGGAGCGAACGGG